UUAAAUUGAAGAGUUUGAUCAUGGCUCAGAUUGAACGCUGGCGGCAGGCCUAACACAUGCAAGUCGAACGGUAACAGGAAGAAGCUUGCUUCUUUGCUGACGAGUGGCGGACGGGGGAGUAAUGUCUGGGAAACUGCCUGAUGGAGGGGGAUAACUACUGGAAACGGUAGCUAAUACCGCAUAACGUCGCAAGACCAAAGAGGGGGACCUUCGGGCCUCUUGCCAUCGGAUGUGCCCAGAUGGGAUUAGCUUGUUGGUGGGGUAACGGCUCACCAAGGCGACGAUCCCUAGCUGGUCUGAGAGGAUGACCAGCCACACUGGAACUGAGACACGGUCCAGACUCCUACGGGAGGCAGCAGUGGGGAAUAUUG
rnacentral:rRNA from 1 species